UCGAACGAUGAAGCCCUUCGGGGUGGAUUAGUGGCGAACGGGUGAGUAACACGUGGGCAAUCUGCCCUUCACUCUGGGACAAGCCCUGGAAACGGGGUCUAAUACCGGAUACCACUCCUGCCUGCAUGGGCGGGGGUUGAAAGCUCCGGCGGUGAAGGAUGAGCCCGCGGCCUAUCAGCUUGUUGGUGGGGUAAUGGCCCACCAAGGCGACGACGGGUAGCCGGCCUGAGAGGGCGACCGGCCACACUGGGACUGAGACACGGCCCAGACUCCUACGGGAGGCAGCAGUGGGGAAUAUUGCACAAUGGGCGAAAGCCUGAUGCAGCGACGCCGCGUGAGGGAUGACGGCCUUCGGGUUGUAAACCUCUUUCAGCAGGGAAGAAGCGAAAGUGACGGUACCUGCAGAAGAAGCGCCGGCUAACUACGUGCCAGCAGCCGCGGUAAUACGUAGGGCGCAAGCGUUGUCCGGAAUUAUUGGGCGUAAAGAGCUCGUAGGCGGCUUGUCACGUCGGAUGUGAAAGCCCGAGGCUUAACCUCGGGUCUGCAUUCGAUACGGGCUAGCUAGAGUGUGGUAGGGGAGAUCGGAAUUCCUGGUGUAGCGGUGAAAUGCGCAGAUAUCAGGAGGAACACCGGUGGCGAAGGCGGAUCUCUGGGCCAUUACUGACGCUGAGGAGCGAAAGCGUGGGGAGC
rnacentral:rRNA from 1 species